UACGGAGGGGGCUAGCGUUGUUCGGAAUUACUGGGCGUAAAGCGCGCGUAGGCGGCUUUGUAAGUUAGAGGUGAAAGCCCGGAGCUCAACUCCGGAACUGCCUUUAAGGCUGCAUCGCUAGAAUUGUGGAGAGGUAAGUGGAAUUCCGAGUGUAGAGGUGAAAUUCGUAGAUAUUCGGAAGAACACCAGUGGCGAAGGCGACUUACUGGACACAUAUUGACGCUGAGGUGCGAAAGCGUGGGGAGCAAACAGG
rnacentral:rRNA from 1 species